UAGGGAAUCUUCCACAAUGGACGAAAGUCUGAUGGAGCAACGCCGCGUGAGUGAAGAAGGGUUUCGGCUCGUAAAACUCUGUUGUUAAAGAAGAACAUAUCUGAGAGUAACCGUUCAGGUAUUGACGGUAUUUAACCAGAAAGCCACGGCUAACUACGUGCCAA
rnacentral:rRNA from 1 species